GCCCCAGUAGCUCAGCGGACAGAGCACCCGCCUUCUAAGCGGUCGGUCGCAGGUUCGAUCCCUGCCUGGGGUACCC
rnacentral:tRNA from 1 species